ACGCGUAAAACCUUACCAGGGCUUAAAUGUAGAGUGACAGGACUGGAAACAGUUUUUCUUCGGACACUUUACAAGGUGCUGCAUGGUUGUCGUCAGCUCGUGCCGUGAGGUGUCAGGUUAAGUCCUAUAACGAGCGCAACCCCCUGUUGUUAGUUGCCAGCGAGUAAUGUCGGGGGAACUCUAACAAGACUGCCGGUGCAAACCGUGAGGAAGGUGGGGAUGACGUCAAAUCAUCACGGCCCUUACGUCC
rnacentral:rRNA from 1 species